GGCGGAUAAGCUUCAUUGUCAAGAGGGAAACAGCCCAGAUCGCCAUUUAAGGCCCCUAAAUAAUUACUAAGUGAUAAAGGAUGUAUUGGUACAUAGACAACCAGGAGGUUUGCCUAGAAGCAGCAAUCCUUUAAAAAGUGCGUAAUAGCUUACUGGUCAAGUGCUUUUGCGCCGAAAAUGAAUGGGACUAAGUAAUUUGCCGAAAGUGUGAGAUUAUAUCGGUAGAAGAGCGUUCUGUAUUAGUGUGAAGCAAUUUUGGAAAAUUUUGUGGACUAUUCAGAAGUGAGAAUGGCGGUUAAGUAACGAAAACAUUGGUGGAAAUCCAAUGCCCCGAAAACCUAAGGAUUCCUUCGCAAGGUUCGUCCACGAAGGGUUAGUCAGGACCUAAAAUGAGGUUUAUAAACGUAGUUGAUGGAUAACGGGUUAAUAUUCCCGUACUAUUAGUUGUUUUGUUAAAGUUGACGAAGAAGGCUAGUUCAGCCAAUUUUUGGUUAUAUUGGUUAAAUCUUCAGAGGUGUAGAGAUUAGUAAUAAAAGACUUUUUGAGCUUAUGAGAAAUUACGAUGAGUGUUACGGCACUUAAAGUGAAUGACGUCAAACUUCCUAGAAAAUACUUGGUAACGUUUAUCAACUAAUACCUGUACCUUAAACUGACACAGGUAGGUUAGUAGAGAAUACUAAGGGGCGCGAGAUAACUCUUUCUAAGGAACUCGGCAAAAUGACUCUGUAACUUCGGGAGAAAGAGUGCCUUAAUUUUUAAGGUCGCAGUGAUCAGAUCCAAGCGACUGUUUACCAAAAAACACAGGUCUCCGCUAAGUUGUAAAACGAUGUAUGGGGGCUGACGUCUGCCCAGUGCCAGAAAGUUAAAGAAAUUGGUUAGCAAUAGCGAAGCUAGUGACUGAAGCUCUGGUGAACGGCGGCAGUAACUAUAACUGUCUUAAGGUAGCGAAAUUCCUUGUCGGGUAAGUUCCGACCUGCACGAAAGACGUAACGAUUUGGAUACUGUCUCAGGAAGAGGCUCGGUGAAAUAGAAUUGACUGUGAAGAUGCGGUCUACUUACACUUGGACAGAAAGACCCUAUGAAGCUUUACUGUAACUUGAAAUUGGUUUUGGAUUUUUCUUGCGCAGAAUAGGUGGGAGGCUAUGAUCCUCUUUUUUGGAAGAAGGUGAGCCACAAUGUGAGAUACCACUCUUGAGAAAUUAGAAAUCUAAUGAUAUUUUAAUCAUGAUAUUUGACAGUUUCAGGCGGGCAGUUUUACUGGGGCGGUAGCCUCCUAAAAGGUAACGGAGGCGCACAUAAGGUUUUCUCAUGCUGGACGGAAAUUAGUUGCAGAGUGUAAAGACAUAAGAAAGCUUGACUGUAAGACUUAUAAGUCGAGCAGAGACUAAAGUCGGUCUUAGUGAUCCGAAGUUGCUGUGUGGAAAGGACUUCGCUUAUCAGAUAAAAGUUACUCUAGGGAUAACAGGCUGAUCUCCCCCAAGAGUUCACAUCGACGGGGAGGUUUGGCACCUCGAUGUCGGCUCAUCGCAUCCUGUGGCAGUAGUAUGUCACAAGGGUUAUGCUGUUCGCAUAUUAAAGCGGUACGUGAGCUGGGUUCAGAACGUCGAGAGACAGUUCGGUCCAUAUCCGGUGUAAGCGUUAGAGCAUUGAAAGGAGCUUUCCUUAGUACGAGAGGACCGGGAAGGACACACCACUGAUGUACCAGUUUUUGUACCAACAGAAAACGCUGGGUAGUCACGUGUGGAGUGGAUAACUGCUGAAAACUAA
rnacentral:rRNA from 1 species